rnacentral:rRNA from 1 species
UACGAAGGGUGCAAGCGUUACUCGGAAUUACUGGGCGUAAAGCGUGCGUAGGUGGUUUGUUAAGUCUGCUGUGAAAGCCCCGGGCUCAACCUGGGAAUGGCAGUGGAUACUGGCAAGCUAGAGUGCGGUAGAGGGGUGUGGAAUUCCUGGUGUAGCAGUGAAAUGCGUAGAUAUCAGGAGGAACACCGAUGGCGAAGGCAGGUCUCUGGGCUGACACUGACGCUCAUGCACGAAAGCGUGGGGAGCAAACAGG